rnacentral:rRNA from 1 species
UACGGGGGGAGCAAGCGUUGUUCGGAUUUACUGGGCGUAAAGGGCGCGUAGGCGGCCUCAUAAGUCCGUUGUGAAAGUCAAAGGCUCAACCUUUGAAAGCCGAUGGAUACUGUGAGGCUAGAGUCCGGAAGAGGCGAGUGGAAUUCCUGGUGUAGCGGUGGAAUGCGCAGAUAUCAGGAGGAACACCAAUAGCGAAGGCAGCUCGCUGGGACGGUACUGACGCUAAGGCGCGAAAGCGUGGGGAGCGAACAGG